rnacentral:lncRNA from 1 species
UUUCAAUCCCUUUUCUAACAGCUACCUACAGCAGCAUUAAAAUUUCUUCUUGUUAAUAUUCAACCCUUGAACUGAUAGUCUGGUUUGUUUUUGUAGCUCAUAAAGAAGCAUCAGUAUCAAUUUCACUUUGUUUCAUGACUGACCAAAAACUCCCUACAGUAGCUUUAAGUUUAGAGCCUUUUUAAAGUUGUCCACAGAGUUCUAAAACGUCAGCUUACCUACUUUACUGUAAUAUCAGGACAGAGCUCUAGCACUUCAGUAGUACCAGGACACUUAACUGAUAUCAGCCACAGACAAGAGGACGGUAAUUUCAGACAAAGAUGCUCUCCUUUGCACAACAAGCUCAGAUAUCGCCCAGCUUUGGCCACAAAGUUCCCCCUCUGAGCAGCACUUUACCGUCUGUGAUCUUGUCCUGUAACCGCCCCUCCCCCCCUUUCAUGUGUGUGUGGAGCUGACUGUAGUAGAAAGGCCUUUGUUUUUUUCAUGCCCGUGUGAGAAAACACACACAUACACACACAGGGGCAUCCAGGAAGUGUAAGCUAAGUGGUGAUGAGAAUAGAGAGUGGAUGUUGACAGGGGUUAUCUGAGGUCGGACAGCGCCGGAGCUCCUCCGCUGGCCUGCUAAUGAAGAGAAAGUGCACGCAGUCGCUGUCAACAUUCAGACUUUCAAAUAUUUUUUUGACAAUUCGCAGAAAUGCAGGAGCAGAAGGAAGAUUGGAUGAGUCACGUGCAGAAUAUAUGGAGUGUUAUCAGGAAGGUUGCACUGUAUUUGAAGCAUAUUUUCCAAAGAUGCAUUGCCUAAUAAACGAUCUGUAAGAUUAUCACUGACAGGAGAUUAAUCUGUGUGCAGAAAGACGCUCCAGAGAUAAGACAGUCGAUUCAUACUUAGAGAAAUAUUUACAGUUUUAACCGCUCCCAAAACUCCCUCUAUGUAUCUCUCUCUUGGAAUUCCAUUCAUUACAACACCCAUAUUUAUGAGGUGAAUCUCAGCGCAGACGUGCAUGCACACUUUGGGCUGUGGUCCCUGUUCGGGGUGGAACCCAGUCCCCACUCCCACUGGAAAUGAGUCAUGUCAAACAGAGGAGAGCCCCCGAUCUUAUCUCGCCGUGGCGGUGUGGUGGGCAUACCCAUCCACACCUUCACACAUACUGUGAGUCACAAGGCAGACUACAUGACCGCUAGAAGAGGAAAUGACCCAUGCCACACUACCAUAUGAAAAUGAGUAUAUUUGGAAUCACCAUGGCAACUAAGAGUUAAAAGGAAGUAUGCCUUUUUGGGAAAUGUCCAAAAAUAAACCUUACUGUUACGCUGCUCUAUAAAAAGAAAUUUAAAGGCUUUUGUUUAAUCGAAACAUCAAAUAAGUUCCUUUUUUUUAAUGUAGUAAAAUCUUUUUGGCAUACACUUGUAUCAACAAUUUCGUAAAGCUAGGCUUUAUCUAAAAAUACCAAAUUUAGUCUUUUUAAAAACAGCUGAUUUACUUACGUCAUCACCCUUCUCUUUUUUUGCGUCACCGGCCCUGUGACAGACUUAUUAUGUAACAAAAACUCACCACCAAAAGAAAUGAAAACUCACUUCUGCUUCAUGUGAUUCUGCGUAACACAUUUUACGAAAUCCAAAACAUUUGCCGUCACCUCCCACGUGGUUCGCGCCGCAGCAGUAGACACGCACUGUGGUAAAAGCUGUGAUAUGUCACCUGGGUUGUGUUCAUCAAAAAUUUGCCUCACAAAACCAUCCUUUCUAUCUUGUAUUACUUUUAUUUUGACAUUUUCGCUGCUUUUUAUCCUGCAUUCUAAAAAGGUGCUUUUAUUUUGAAAAAACAUGCGCGCAACUCCUGAUAGAUUGUGAGUUAUGUAACAGAAUGAAAACAGCAAAUUAAUGAUCUGUAAGAGACUAGAUAAAUGCUCUAUGUAUUAGCAUCCUGAAGUGAUGAUGUUGGCUUUGGAUUCACAAAAAACCUUGAAAAAUUGGUUUGGUGUCCGACCAUCUUUUAGAGCAAGGGUGGGCAAUAAAUUUUUACAUGGGGCCAAAUUAGAAACCGGAACUGUGUUGGAGGGCUAAACCAUCAAUAACGUCAACUUCAAAUCAGGGGGAUUCACACAUACAGAAAAGCAAGCCCAAAUAAGCAACUGCUAGUUUAAAAACAAGUCCAAAAAAGUUUUACAAGGCUCUUCUGAGAGAAACAAGCCUAAAGUCGUUUAUAAUAAGCAGAUUUGACAACUACGAGGUGUCUACGUAUAUUAUGUCUAUGUCUAAACCUGUCUCUGUUCACGACUGCAGAUCUAGGAUGUACGCAUGUACGUCCAAACGGAAAUACAACAAUGGCUGGGUUUUCAAAAUAAGAUAAAAACACUUGUAGAGCAAAUUCAUGUUCUGAUUGGCUCACAAAGGGCCGUAAAAUGCCCAGGUCUGUUUCAGAGGGUGCUAUAUUAAAAAAAAAAAAAAAAAAAAAAAAAAGUAUCACUGUAUUACUGUGCACUUAUUUUUGCACAAUACUAAUUUUUCUUUGUUUUUUAAAGAUAGAAUUUCUUUCUGUUUUGUUUUGUAAAAAGUCUCAUCUUGCUCUCCUGUAACAGUUAAAUGUACCAAUUGUUAAUAAGUCUGAUCAGGGUGGAGCUACAAGCUGCCAAAUCCAAUCGAAAAAACUCUUUACUGGAGCUUUAAGUAUUAGAGCAGAGAAGAUGUAAAUGUUGCGACUGUAAUGUUAUUUAUUCAUUUAUUUUAGCUUCUUUCGAGUGAAAAGUUUGAGUUUGACAAGUGGCUAUGAAACUGGAAAAUAAAUGCUGUUUAUCAUGUGUGCACAUAUACUUAACGCCACCCCUGCAUUAGUCACAGCCCCGCUCUGGGCACUUUAGUCAAGGUAGUCUAGCUCUGCCCCUGGAUUAAUGAAAGAAGCUGUAUCAGCAGCACAAAGUUAAUCAUUAUAUCCGAAACCUGCUCUGUCUGUUGUUUCAGACAUUAAAGAUAACCACACUGAAGUGAUCAUGCUCCUUCUUCUUCUGUGUGUUUUUGUGUCUCUAUUUAAAUCAUACAUCAGUAGACAUCAGCUUUAAUUUCAGUCUGUGUUUAAAACUCCUUAUAGGAGCUUUAAUGAUUAUGGUAGUAACUUUUGCUAAAACUGUCACAACACAAACAAACUGUUUUACAAAGUCACUAAUAACUCCAAGAAGUGUGUCAUGACAGCAGUAACAUCUGGAGACACAGUCAGAGAGGAGGAAUACAAAGACAAAAAUCUCGAAAGCACAUAUC